UCAGGUCACUCAGGAUAACCAUCAGGUCACCCAAUCCAGCCACCAGGUCACCAAGCCCAACCAUCAGGUCACCAAGCCCAACUAUCAGGUCACCCAGUCCAACCAUCAGGUCACCCAGUCCAACCAUCAGGUCACCCAGCCCAACCAUCAGAUCAUCCAGCCCAACUAUCAGGUCACCAAACCCAACCAUCAGGUCACCCAGCCCAACCACCAAUCACACAAAGCAACGUGCACAAGACUCAAAAUGAUGCCACAAGGCAAUUUGGG